rnacentral:rRNA from 1 species
UACAGAGGUCCCAAGCGUUGUUCGGAUUCACUGGGCGUAAAGGGUGCGUAGGCGGUCGUGUAAGUCUGAUGUGAAAUCUCACAGCUUAACUGUGAAACUGCAUUGGAUACUAUCCGGCUCGAGGAAUGGAGGGGAGACUGGAAUACUUGGUGUAGCAGUGAAAUGCGUAGAUAUCAAGUGGAACACCAGUGGCGAAGGCGAGUCUCUGGACAUUUCCUGACGCUGAGGCACGAAAGCCAGGGGAGCAAACGGG